rnacentral:rRNA from 1 species
UACGUAGGGUGCGAGCGUUGUCCGGAAUUAUUGGGCGUAAAGAGCUCGUAGGCGGUCUGUCGCGUCGGCUGUGAAAUCCCGAGGCUCAACCUCGGGUCUGCAGUCGAUACGAGCAAACUAGAGUGUUGCAGGGGAGACUGGAAUUCCUGGUGUAGCGGUGAAAUGCGCAGAUAUCAGGAGGAACACCGGUGGCGAAGGCGGGUCUCUGGGCAACAACUGACGCUGGAGGAGCGAAAGCGUGGGGAGCGAACAGG